ensembl:lncRNA
GUCAGAUCAGCGGAGCCGGGGGGGGAGAAAGGGGGUUAGUGGCGCACCUGAUUAUAUUUUCUGUUUACCGUCGUCGUCGUCGUCAUCGUCAAACAACCAUGUUUUCAUUCAUCAAUUGUCAUUCGGUCUGCAGCUAUAAAAUUCUCAAACUAUAUUCAUCACCGGACUUGGAUUCAUUGUACGACGCGUAACUGCCUGGAGCCCAGUUAAGCCUCUUAGCGGCCUUUUAUAGGAAAACGGACGCUAUAUAUAGUAAACAGAAAUAAUCCAAAAACACCACGGGAUUCAACGUUGCUCUUAUCGCUUGGAUCUCGAUGUUUUGGACGGAACGAACUAUGCAACAGGGGACUCUUCUGCGGACGCCUGGGAUCAGACACAUAAUUGACUGCAGCAGCGGUGUAACGCGGGAAGUGACAGCAGCGCAUCACAGCCAUCAGAAUCGGCAAUAAAACCGCUGCACCCAAUGCUGAGCGUCCGAGUCCAUGCUUGAAGGAAACAAAACACAACGCAGGUUGCAGUGGUGCCGUGUACAGGAUUCAACUGAUUGGUCGCUGACCAACAACCCUUACCGGAGGGCCUGUUACCAUUCCCACACUGGAGAUCAGCUGAGAACACUUGGCCGAGCUGGACACCCCGAGGUUGCCAUCAACUCUCUGAAAAACAAGCAAAGUGGCCAGCAGUCUCCAGCAGCCAACAUCAAGAAGCCCAGGAAGGGAGAUGUACAUUUCUGUCCGAACAUCCCUAGUGGUGAAACAAAACACAGUUAGGAGAUGGAAAGGGUGGCUAUACUGAUGGAGUAAAAAAUAAGAAAAGGGAUGAGGCCCUCAUCAAGGAAAAGAUGCAGCGUACAUUCUCCCUCAGGAGACAGGAGGUUCUCCAGGAGCCAAAGAUUCCAGAGUUUUUC